rnacentral:tRNA from 1 species
UGGGGUGUCGCCAAGUGGUUAAGGCGCCGGACUUUGAAUCCGGUAUUCGGAAGUUCGAAUCUUCCCACCCCAG